CUACGGGCCGCUCCAGUGAGGAAUUUUGCGCAAUGGGGGGAACCCUGACGCAGCAACGCCGCGUGAGUGAUGAAGGCUUUCGGGUCGUAAAGCUCUGUCAAGUGGGAAGAACCUAUGCAGUGUUAAUAUCACUGUAUACUGACGGUACCACUGAAGGGAGCACCGGCUAACUCCGUGCCAGCAGCCGCGGUAAUACGGGGGGUGCAAGCGUUAUUCGGAAUCAUUGGGCGUAAAGGGCACGUAGGCGGCUUGGUAAGUCAGAUGUGAAAGCCCGGGGCUUAACCCCGGAAGUGCAUUUGAUACUGUCAGGCUUGAGUAUGGGAGAGGGAAGUGGAAUUCCUGGUGUAGAGGUGAAAUUCGUAGAUAUCAGGAGGAACACCGGUGGCGAAGGCGACUUCCUGGACCAAUACUGACGCUGAGGUGCGAAGGCGUGGGUAGCAAACAGGAUUAGAUACCCCGGUAGUC
rnacentral:rRNA from 1 species